CCUUAUCACCAGAAGAUCAAUUUCAAAAUCGUACAUGGUUCUUGCCUUUUACCAGAACCAUCCGGGAAUUGUCUUCACUACUGGUGUUUUCACUAUUUUUUGGAACCUUUUUCUUUAUAUUAAGAUUUAUUCUAGUAUAUUGAUAUUUUACCUAUCUACUUUUU